CAGAGAGGUUUCAGUGGUAAACCACUUAGCAGCAGUUUUGUUUAUCUUUGUCAUGGUUUAACUGCAGCUGACAACUAAACACCAUACAGCCAUUUGCUCACUCCCCGGCCCUGGUGAGAUGGAGAGAAUCAGAAGAGGGAAAACUUGACACGCAAGAUACACAGCUCAUGUUUAAAUCACCUCUGCUUAAGAAACUGCAUCUUGCCAUGACUGCUGUGAGAAGAGUAUUAUAUUUUUAAGAGGGCAAAAAGACUUAUGGCAAAUGAUUUCCCUCCAUGUUGGAAAAAGGUGUAUGGAGGGUAUGAAUCAUAACAAAACCAUAGGUCUUCAUCCCGCUUUCCUCACCUGUUGGAGGGCUGAUGAUACAACCUUCUCCCUAUGCUUUGUUCUGUCACCAUUAGGCGUUGAAUAUUGGUGAUGAAAGUGUGCUCUGGUGGGAUACUGCUACCCAGCCAUCUCAUUUUGCAAUGAUAUAAUAAGAAUACAGUGUCCCAA